rnacentral:rRNA from 1 species
UACAGAGGGUGCGAGCGUUAAUCGGAAUUACUGGGCGUAAAGCGUGCGCAGGCGGUCAUGUAAGUCGGGUGUGAAAGCCCCGGGCUCAACCUGGGAAUUGCAUUCGAGACUGCAUGGCUAGGGUGCGGAAGAGGGAAGCGGAAUUUCCGGUGUAGCGGUGAAAUGCGUAGAUAUCGGAAGGAACACCAGUGGCGAAAGCGGCUUCCUGGUCCAGCACCGACGUUCAGGCACGAAAGCGUGGGGAGCAAACAGG